CAAAAACAUAGCUGUAUGAAUUAAUAUGCAGUAAUUUCUGCUCAAUGAAUAGUUAAAUAGCCGCAGUACCCUGACUGUGCUAAGGUAGCGCAAUCAAUUGACUUUUAAAUGAAGUCCAGAAUGAACGAAAUUAUGGGGGGCUUCUUUUUCAUUGGCAAUUUUUGAAUUUUCUCAGUAAGUGCAAAUUCUUACAUAUAAAAAAUAGACGAGAAGACCCUAGAAAUUUUAAAAAAAAAGUCUUUUUUGUUGGGGCAACAGAGUAGCAAAUAAUAAUCUACUAAAAUUAACACGCAAAAAAUAUUUUGAUAGAUCAAAUUACUCUAGGGAUAACAGCAUAAUUUAUGAACGUUUGUGACCUCGAUGUUGGAUUAGGGAAUUAACAUUUAGAAGAUAAAUAAUAGGCUCUGU
rnacentral:rRNA from 1 species